UNCAGUUUACAUUCAUUAUGACCUUAUACC
rnacentral:piRNA from 1 species